CCUACGGGUGGCAGCAGUGGGGAAUAUUGGACAAUGGGGGGAACCCUGAUCCAGCCAUGCCGCGUGUGUGAAGAAGGCCCUCGGGUUGUAAAGCACUUUCAGUGAGGAAGAACGCCUGGUGGUUAAUACCCAUCAGGAAAGACAUCACUCACAGAAGAAGCACCGGCUAACUCCGUGCCAGCAGCCGCGGUAAUACGGAGGGUGCGAGCGUUAAUCGGAAUUACUGGGCGUAAAGCGCGCGUAGGUGGCUUGAUAAGCCGGUUGUGAAAGCCCCGGGCUCAACCUGGGAACGGCAUCCGGAACUGUCAAGCUAGAGUGCAGGAGAGGAAGGUAGAAGUCCCGGUGUAGCGGUGAAAUGCGUAGAGAUCGGGAGGAAUACCAGUGGCGAAGGCGGCCUUCUGGACUGACACUGACACUGAGGUGCGAAAGCGUGGGUAGCAAACAGGAUUAGAUACCCCUGUAGUC
rnacentral:rRNA from 1 species